rnacentral:rRNA from 1 species
UACAGAGGUCUCAAGCGUUGUUCGGAUUCAUUGGGCGUAAAGGGUGCGUAGGCGGCGCGGUAAGUCGGGUGUGAAAUCUCGGGGCUUAACUCCGAAACUGCAUUCGAUACUGCCGUGCUUGAGGACUGGGGAGGAGACUGGAAUUUACGGUGUAGCGGUGAAAUGCGUAGAUAUCGUAAGGAAGACCAGUGGCGAAGGCGGGUCUCUGGACAGUUCCUGACGCUGAGGCAUGAAGGUCAGGGGAGCAAACGGG